rnacentral:rRNA from 1 species
CGUACACUCCUACGGGAGGCAGCAGUGGGGAAUAUUGGACAAUGGGCGCAAGCCUGAUCCAGCCAUGCCGCGUGAGUGAUGAAGGCCCUAGGGUUGUAAAGCUCUUUCACCGGUGAAGAUAAUGACGGUAACCGGAGAAGAAGCCCCGGCUAACUUCGUGCCAGCAGCCGCGGUAAUACGAAGGGGGCUAGCGUUGUUCGGAUUUACUGGGCGUAAAGCGCACGUAGGCGGACUAUUAAGUCAGGGGUGAAAUCCCGGGGCUCAACCCCGGAACUGCCUUUGAUACUGGUAGUCUUGAGUUCGAGAGAGGUGAGUGGAAUUCCGGGUGUAGAGGUGAAAUUCGUAGAUAUUCGGAGGAACACCAGUGGCGAAGGCGGCUCACUGGCUCGAUACUGACGCUGAGGUGCGAAAGCGUGGGGAGCAAACAGGAUUAGAAACCCGGGUAGUCCCAUGAU